rnacentral:rRNA from 1 species
GAUGAACGCUGGCGGCGUGCUUAACACAUGCAAGUCGAACGGAAAGGCCCUGCUUUUGUGGGGUGCUCGAGUGGCGAACGGGUGAGUAACACGUGAGUAACCUCCCCUUGUCAUUCGGAUAUCUCUACGAAACUCGGGCAAAUACCGGGGAUGAGCUCCUGCUGCAUGGUGGGGGAUGGAAAGUUUCGGCGGUUGGGGAUGGAAUCGUUGGUUAUCAGCUGCUUGGUGUGGUAGUGACGUACGAAGGCUUCGAAGGGUAGCCGGCCUGAGAGGAUUACCGGCCACAAUGGGACUAAGAUGCGGCGCAGACUCCUACGGGGGGCAGCGGUGGGGAAGAUUGCAGAGUAGGCGGAAGCCUGGUGCGGCAGCGCUGCGGGCGGAAUUGCAGGCUUUGGGUUGUGAACCUCUUUCUCCUGAGACGGACCGAGAGUGGCGGUAGCGGGUAAGGAAGCACCGGCUAACUCCGUG